AGAGUUUGAUCAUGGCUCAGAACGAACGCUGGCGGCAGGCCUAACACAUGCAAGUCGAACGCCUCAGCAAUGAGGAGUGGCAGACGGGUGAGUAACGCGUGGGAACCUUCCCAGUGGUACGGAAUAACUGACCGAAAGGUUAGCUAAUACCGUAUACGCCCGAAAGGGGAAAGAUUUAUCGCCAUUGGAUGGGCCCGCGUCGGAUUAGCUUGUUGGUGAGGUAAUGGCUCACCAAGGCGACGAUCCGUAGCUGGUCUGAGAGGAUGAUCAGCCACACUGGGACUGAGACACGGCCCAGACUCCUACGGGAGGCAGCAGUGGGGAAUAUUGGACAAUGGGCGCAACCCUGAUCCAGCAAUGCCGCGUGAGUGAUGAAGGCCUUCGGGUUGUAAAGCUCUUUUGCCAGGGACGAUGAUGACGGUACCUGAGAAUAG
rnacentral:rRNA from 1 species